GACGAACGCUGGCGGCGUGCCUAAUACAUGCAAGUAGAACGCUGAAGGAAGGAGCUUGCUCUUUCCGGAUGAGUUGCGAACGGGUGAGUAACGCGUAGGUAACCUGCCUGGUAGCGGGGGAUAACUAUUGGAAACGAUAGCUAAUACCGCAUAACAGUAGAUGUUGCAUGAUAUCUACUUAAAAGGUGCAAUUGCACCACUACCAGAUGGACCUGCGUUGUAUUAGCUAGUUGGUGAGGUAACGGCUCACCAAGGCGACGAUACAUAGCCGACCUGAGAGGGUGAUCGGCCACACUGGGACUGGGACACGGCCCAGACUCCUACGGGAGGCAGCAGUAGGGAAUCUUCGGCAAUGGACGGAAGUCUGACCGAGCAACGCCGCGUGAGUGAAGAAGGGUUUCGGAUCGUAAAGCUCUGUUGUAAGAGAAGAACGAGUGUGAGAGUGGAAAGUUCACACUGUGACGGUAUCUUACCAGAAAGGGACGGCUAACUACGUG
rnacentral:rRNA from 1 species